rnacentral:rRNA from 1 species
AGUGAACGCUGGCGGUAGGCCUAACACAUGCAAGUCGAACGGCAGCACAGUAAGAGCUUGCUCUUACGGGUGGCGAGUGGCGGACGGGUGAGGAAUACAUCGGAAUCUACUUUUUCGUGGGGGAUAACGUAGGGAAACUUACGCUAAUACCGCAUACGACCUACGGGUGAAAGCAGGGGAUCUUCGGACCUUGCGCGAUUGAAUGAGCCGAUGUCGGAUUAGCUAGUUGGCGGGGUAAAGGCCCACCAAGUCGACGAUCCGUAGCUGGUCUGAGAGGAUGGUCAGCCGCACUGGAACUGAGACACGGUCCAGACUCCUACGGGAGGCAGCAGUGGGGAAUAUUGGACAAUGGGCGCAAGCCUGGUCCAGCCAUACCGCGUGGGUGAAGAAGGCCUUCGGGUUGUAAAGCCCUUUUGUUGGGAAAGAAAAGCAGCAGGUUAAUACCCCGCUGUUCUGACGGUACCCAAAGAAUAAGCACCGGCUAACUUCGUG